CGUGUAGGCGGACUGGAAAGUCAGGUGUGAAAUACUAUGGCUCAACCAUGGUGUGUCAUCUGAAACUACUGGUCUUGAGUUCGGGAGAGGGUGGUGGAAUUCCCGGUGUAGCGGUGAAAUGCGUAGAUAUCGGGAGGAAUACCGGAGGCGAAGGCGGCCACCUGGCCCGAAACUGACGCUGAGGCGCGAAAGCGUGGGCAGCAAACA
rnacentral:rRNA from 1 species